AUGCCAUUGCGUGAUUCUGCCUGCUCUGCCUGUGUAUCACGCACAUUUCUACGUUCUUGGAGAUGUCACCCCAAGCUUAUAUUCAGUGAGGAAACACUAGGCUUGAAACAGAAAGAAGGCCAAAAUAUCGAUAUAGCAAGGGGUUUCACUAGCAGAGUUGAUCAUAUUCUGAAAAAUCACUCAGACACCGGUGUGAAGAUACUCAAGUUUGUAAUCCGUGAUCAUUACAAUGUCGACACUUGUCAUCUAAAUAGUUGGCUCCAGAAAGCUAUCACACCAGGGAUUGAAGAAGUCACACUUUUGCUGCCUACAAAAUAUAGGAAAAUGUAUGAAGUCCCGUGUUCAGCUCUACUUGAUGGGUGUGGAAACUCAAUCUGGUAUCUUUACCUCACCAAUUGUGCCUUCCGCCCCCCGGUUGGAUUUGAUUGCUUGAGAAGCCUGACAAAGCUGCAUCUGUAUGGAGUUUGUAUCACGGGGGAUGAGUUGGGGCAUCUUAUUUCCAAUUGUUUUGCUUUGGAGGAGUUAGAAGUCAGCUGUUGCAUGAAGCUAAUCUGCCUGGAGAUACCAUUCUGGCUGGAGCGGCUUAGUUGCUUGACUGUGUCUCAGUGCGACAAGCUGAGAGUGAUAAAGAGCACAGCUCCACACCUCUCCAUUUUUGACUUCUUUGGUGAACCAGUACAACUCGUGCUUGGAGAAUCAUCAAAGGUAAAAGACUUAAGGGUGGGGUAUUCAUUUGCGCCCAAUGCUGUGAGUUAUGCUAUCACUAAGCUACCUUUCAUCGCACCACAUCUUGAGACUCUUACUGUAUACUCGUUUUGUGAGAGGGUUAGUACCCCAAUGGUAGCUGACAAAUUCCUCCACAUAAAGCACUUGAAUAUCUACCUUGGUGAGGAUGAUGGUGGGGCUGUUACCCCGGCCUAUGAUUAUUUAUCCUUGGCUUCAUUUCUGGAUGCUUGUCCUGUCUUGGAGAGUUUCAUCUUAAGUGUAGAUCAGAGUGACAUGCGGCAUGAUUCGGUUUUUGAGGAUCCCUCCUCACAUCUGAGGCAGAUUCCUGAACACAGGCGACAUGAGAGGCUCAAGAAGGUGCAAAUCGAUGGCUUUUGCUCUGCAAAGAGCGUAGUUGAGCUAACAUGUCAUAUCCUCAAGAAUGCAACGUCACUUGAAAGCCUCACACUGGACUGCAUAUUUGGUGCGGAGGCGGUUGGUCAGUCUGUUAGGUGUUCUGCCCCAGAAUCCGGUAAAUGCAUGCCCACAAGCCGGCGUAUGAUCUUGGAAGCACAUAAAGCACUCAGUGCCGUCAAGAGAUACAUCCUGGAGAAAGUUCCCUCUUCAGUCAAGUUAAAUGUCGGGGGGCCUUGUACCCGGUGCCAUGUUAUGGAUGUGAUGUUGCCGCAGGUAUACAAUAUGUAG
rnacentral:rRNA from 1 species